AUUAUUUUAAUGAAAAGCCUAACAAGAUCACCAAUGCCACCAAUCUUGGCUAGGCUUAUAUAAGGUCAAAAUCAACACUCUUUUCAUCCCCUAAAACACAACCAACCUCUCUUGCAGCCACCAAGUUUUCUUCCCAAAUCCUCUUCUCUCUAUUUUCCAAGAACAUGGAGUUCUCAACCUUCCACCCCUCAACAUGGAAUUCUUUCUUCACCUCUCCUCUCCUCUUUCCCUAUCAUUUCAUUCCUGAGAAUUAUGUUCAUUGGAGAGAGACCCCUGAAUCUCACAUAUAUUCUGCUGAUCUUCCAGGUAAAACAAAAAAAAGAAUCAAAAUUCAGUAGGGGAUUUAAAUAGACUUUUUUUCCCUUUAAACACCCUUUACUUUGUCCUGUAUCGGGUAUUAAUUUUCUUGAGUUUUGAAUGAAUGUUUUUAUUUUUUGGAUAGGUCUGAAGAAAGAGGAAAUAAAGGUGGAAGUUGAGGAUUCAAGAUACCUGAUAAUAAGAACUGAAGCUG
rnacentral:lncRNA from 1 species